AGUGAACGCUGGCGGUAGGCCUAAUACAUGCAAGUCGAACGGCAGCACAGUAAGAGCUUGCUCUUACGGGUGGCGAGUGGCGGACGGGUGAGGAAUACAUCGGAAUCUACUUUUUCGUGGGGGAUUACGUAGGGACACUUACGCUAAUACCGCAUAUGUUCUACGGGUGAAAUCAGUGGAUCUUCGCACCUUUCCCGUUUGAUUGAGCCGAUGUCGGAUUAGCUAGUUGGCGGGGUAAAGGCCCACCAAGGCGACGAUCCGUAGCUUGUCUGAGAGGAUGAUCGGCCACACUGGAAUUGAGACAGGAUCCAGACACCAACGGGGGGCAGCAGUGGGGAAUAUUGGAAAAUGGGGGGAAGCCUGAUCCAGCCCUACCACGUGGAUGAAGAAGGCUUCGGGUUGUAAAGCCCUUUUGUUGGGAAAGAAAAGCAGCAGGUUAAUACCCCGCUGUUCUGACGGUACCCGAAGAAUAAGCACCGGCUAACUUCGUG
rnacentral:rRNA from 1 species